UAAAAAGAAAUUUUGCAACCUAAAUAAGGAACAGCAUUGUCUGACUUACUUGAGCAAAUAUUGGUGGUCCAGAUUAAGACAUAUUUUUAAAACUUUAAAAAGUGUUGAUUAUUAAAACUGUAGUAAAUUACAUUUCAUUUUGGGGGGAGAAUUCCAAGUAUGGUGUUUGUAUUAAAGUCAGACAGUCAUUCUUAUGCUUUUACAUGAAGUUUAAAUGAUAUACAUUGUAAAUAUUGAAUACAGUGUUUAAAAAGCAUGCUUCAACAUAGAAGUAGCAGCAAUGUAAUUAUUUGAAGUAACACUUAACACUCCACUGCAUUGAAUGCAGUGGAUGAAUAAGAAUGUUUAAGACUGACAUUUCCAAGGUUGGCUACUAUGUAAAAUUAAAAUUAUACAAAUUACUAUACAGAAAAAGCCUUAAUUUUAAUUUCAUACAAAUCUUUGAUGCAUUAUUAGUACAUUUUAAAAUGUCAUUGGAAAUUAGAUUUCUUUUUUUUUUUCCUUUUUUUGCUUUACAUCAUUUGGUAUGUAAAUACCUUGAUUAAAACCUUGUAAACCUAUUUCAAGGUUCCUGUAAGUUGUAUAGUACAGUGUUUUUAAAAAAUCUUGGGGUGUUUUUUAAAAUUAGAUAUAUUUUGCCCGAGAAUUUUUUUAACAAGAUUGCUAAAACAUCUUAUUUAGACAGUUUGAUGUACCAAUUUAUAAUUGGAUAUUCAACUUAAAUAGUAUACAGAGUUGUAACUUUUAUUUUAAUUAAUUUUUUCCUUGUGGGUGAUGUGCAUGGGAUGACAAACCUGAACAGAGGCUGUGAGUUGUAUGAGUGCAGAGUUUGUAAAUGAAUUGAUUGGGUAAGAUUGACAUUUGCUUCUGAGGUAUUUUUCAGGCCAUGUGCAUAAAUUUCUAUCAUAGCAGGAAUGUAAAAGAGAUAAAAAUCCUUUGUUUUUGAGUUCUGACAGCUAGGGGGUGCAAAUGUUUAGGCAGCGUAUUUGAAAUGUUCUGAGGUCUGGGCACCAAAAUGAGAAAACUCUUUACAGUUAAGUAAUAAGAUUCAGCUAGCACCCACAGAUUACUGUUUUUUAAACUUUUGACGUCUUACAGUUAGCUUUAAAAUAAUGAUGGUUUUAUAAAUUGAUCUCCACAAUAAUUUUGGUAUUUUCCUUCUUCCCCCAUUUAGAAAUGUGUUGAACAUGAAAAUUUACAGGGUCUGAAGUUGUUCAUCUUCGGGCCAAAUUUUUUAUGGCACUUUAGUUUUAACCACAGUCCUCAUCUAUUACACUCUUCUGUUAUAAAAUUUACCAUUAUUUCUUUUGUUCAUGGUUAGUGUCUUUGGGGGAUGUUAUGGAAAAGUUACUUUAUAUUUUAUAAGGAGAACACUCAAAUUAAUUAUACCUCCUAGUUAAAAUUUCUUAAAUAUAUGUGAAACUUGAACUAAAGAUUUUUUUAUAUAUAUAUUGAGAAAAGCCUAUUAAAGUUUCAAUUUACCUUUUUUGGUCUGCCAGUAAAUUAAGUAGCUAAAUACAGUACCAGCUAAAUAUAGCUGCUUGUAUAUUCUAUGAUUUAAUAAAGUGAUGCAGACUAGUUAUAUUGCAUAGUAAACAUACGACUGAAGUGUCCUUCAUCUUAUCUGAAAGAACAAGAUUACAUGCUCAGUUCAAUUAAUGGAAGUUUUUUCAUUUUAAAUGGUUUUUAAAAAAUAAAGCUACUUACCCAGAUGAAAUGCACCGUUUUAAAAUACAACUGUCAAGCUAUUCAAGACUAUUUUAUAACACAAAGUGAAGUCAGUGCUAUCUUGAUCCAGUUUAAGCCUAAGAAUCAUUGCAUUUUCCAUGUUCAUUAAAAACAGCAGCAGAGAUUUUCGGCAGGCAAGAAAAUGUUUAUUUCAUAAUCACUCUGAGAUUCAUUUUGGUGAUGUGUUUCUGACUGCCAUCUUCUUUGCUCUCAUCUCUCUACUAGUAUUUCCCCCCGUGCCAUUACCACUUGAUUUUUAUGUCUGCUGGCAGUGAGAGGCUAAAAUGACUGGCCAACGUAAGCCAAAGCUGUAAACAACAGUUGAAGUAAGUCUUUCAAUAAAGACUAGACUAUAUGAUAAGUGGCUUUUUCUUAUUGUCGUUCAUUACAUAAUUAUUCCUUGCAGCCUGCCAUAAGUAAUUCCAUUUUCUUUUAAGUUCUUAGUAAGGUAUAUGGAGUAUACAUACAUUUCAGGACCUAUUUCUGUGUUCUCUAUAAGUGAUAAAAGUCUGUUUGCUUUUGUUGGAUUAAAAUUUAAUUUCUGGGCUUCCCUGGUGGCACAGUGGUUGGGAGUCCACCUGCCGAUGCAGGGGACACGGGUUCGUGCCCCGGUCCGGGAAGAUCCCACAUGCCGCGGAGCGGCUGGGCCCGUGAGCCAUGGCCCCUGAGCCUGCGCAUCUGGAGCCUGUGCUCCGCAACGGGAGAGGCCACAGCAGUGAGAGGCCCAUGUACCGCAAAAAAAAACAUAAGUAAAUAAAAUAAAAUAAAAUUUAAUGUCUGAGUAUGGAGGAGUAGAAAUUUGCAUCCUUAAAAAUGUAUGCUCUUGAAUAUUAAUAUUGUAAAAUCUCAUUAGAGACCACAAAUAAUGGGAACCAUAAUUUUACCGUUUCUAGAUUGAUCUUUGGUAGUACCUAUGAGUAAAGAUUGCACUCGACAAACAGAAAAAGUAGAAAAAGAAUUUAAUAAAUUAUCUAGACACCUUUCUAGCAGGUAUACCCAAAUUAUCUCUUACCUAUUCAUUGAAAAUCAGCAUUUGGGCUUCCACUUAAUACGUUAUAAACAUUGAAUUUGCAGUUUUAGUAGGUAUUGGAAAGAUGCAAAAAUGUUUUAGGCUUUUAUUAUUAUAUAAGCCUUCUUAAGAGGUCCAAAGGAGUGGGUUUAAGUUCAGAUAAACUAGAAACUGUAAUUCACAACAUACUUUGUAUAAGUAUCUCUUUUAGGGGCGAGAAUAACUUGAUUUUAGAAUUGCCCGAAUGUGAAUAGAGGAGGGGGAAUUAUAUGUAGUCGUUUAUCUUAGACAAAAACGUGGGGCGGGGGGUGCUAAUACUCAUGGACCCUUUUGUUGAAUUAGGGUUUUGUUCAAGGGAAGAGAAGAUUAAUUCAUAUGACGUUCAUAGUUUGGCUUUUGAACAGUGUCAAUUAGAGUAACAGUUGACAAAAUGUAUGUAUCUAGUAAAUGAUUUCCUUAGUGUUCCAACCUAGGUCUAAUACAUAAUGCUGAAUUUUCACUUUUCCAGAUUGUUGCAUUUUUCAAAAUUGAAUAACCAUUGUUGCUCUGAGAUAUUCCUCUGACAAAGUGAUCCACAUCUAAUAUAUUGAAGUCAGCUUGGAAAGUUUGCCAAACGUGACAAAAACCAAAGUGCUGUUGGAUAGCUGUCAGAGGAAAGCCAGGAUAAUUUUACAUUGAAAAGUAAUCUCUUGGGGUGGAGCUGUCCACUUGUCGAUCUUGCAGCUGGGCUUAGCUUGCCUGUGGACCUCCUGUUUUGACUGUGUGUGUCGUUCUUGUGAACUGACAAGAGUUUGCAAACAGUGUGGUUAUCAGGUGGUGCAGCAGAAUUGUAUUUUUGAGGUAAGCCAGGUUUUGCUAUAUAUAUGUCCGGUGGAUAUCAUAACUUGCCCACCCGCAAUUUUUUUUUUUCUCCUGUUCCUGUAUCCUUCUUCCUUGGGUUUUGGUAUACCAAUGAAGAGAGGUCCAAAACCAUCUGGACAAAAUGGGCGUGAAAUAUGCAGCCAUAUGCAACUGUGCCUGUUAUGAAAAUUGAUACUAAUAUUGCAUAAAUUUCAAAUUUUCACAGUUCAUUUUACUGGUUAAAAGUUGUGAGUUGAGGGCUUCCCUGGUGGUGCAGUGGUUGAGAGUCCGCCUGCCGAUGCAGGAGAUGUGGGUUCGUGCCCCAGUCUGGGAAGAUCCCACAUGCCGCGGAGCGGCUGGGACCGUGAGCCAUGGCCGCUGAGCCUGUGCGUCUGGAGCCUGUGCUCCGCAACGGGAAAGGCCACAACAGUGAGAGGCCUGCGUACCACAAAAAAAAAAAAAAGUUGUGAGUUGAAUUGUUCCAUAUGUGGUUUAUAUGAUUGCUUUUGCUCACAAAAAUAAAGCCAAUUCUUAAAUCUUAACAUAGCUAAACAAAAUAGGUACAGUAAUUUUAGUUAGCUUCUUUUUUUUGAAAAGGACUAAACUUGGAAGAACAUUUUUAACUUCCUUUGGCUAGGUUAUAUUUUAGCAUAUUGCCCAGCUCAUCCUUGGUUAUCUGUUUAACGAGAUUGGGAAAGGAGUGGUGACUAGGGUAAUGAAGAAGGGAGAAGUCCUUGAUUCUGAAGAGCAUUGACAUGGGAAUAGAGAGUCUUGGGCAAGUGUAGUAAACCAUGCAUGAUAAUCAGAAUUUGGGUGCAGAUAUCUAAUGUGUUAGCUCAAACUGCACAUUUUGUCAGGAAGGCUAGGAGAUUUUACCAGGUUAUUGAAAAAGUAUUACCAACAUCUUGGUGUCAUUUACUGGCCCUGAUCAUUUCUUUUCAUUUUCCUUUAAUGUGUGUUUUAUUUUUGUAUCUGUGUGUGUAUUAGAAUGUUGGGCACAUGCUGCUGUUUUUAAAAUACUGCCUUUGAGCAUUUUCAGUAAAAUGAUGGGAUUACAAUAUCCUUCAAAAGCCACAUUUAGUUUAUUAUAACCAGGAAUCUUUUAUUUUUAAAAACGGAUAACUUCAUUCCCAGGUUGCUUCACUAUUUUUCUGUCUUUGGUUAUGUCAGUUUUCCUCCAUUAGAAUGUAAGCUCCAUGGGGGCAGGACCUUCUAGUAACUACACAAACCCUAGGACUUACAUAAGAAUACUUGGCACAUGGUACAUACUCAGUAAAUGUUUAAUGCAUGAACAUGAUUGAGGAAGUAAAAGUAAAUGAAUAUUUUAGUCUCCCUCUUAGAACCAGAAUACCACUUGGUGUUCUACUUGACUAGAACUUGAUCAGAAUGAACUGAGUGCUUGUUAAAAUGCAGAUUCUGAGGCUCCACAGUUGUGGGUGAAUGUAAUCUGAAAUAAAAUUCAUUGGCAUGGUUUC
rnacentral:lncRNA from 1 species